UACCAGCACCCCGAGUGGUCGGGACGUUUAUUGGGCCUAAAGCAUCCGUAGCCGGUUCUACAAGUCUUCCGUUAAAUCCAACUGCUUAACAGGUGGGCUGCGGAAGAUACUAUAGAGCUAGGAGGCGGGAGAGGCAAGCGGUACUCGAUGGGUAGGGGUAAAAUCCGUUGAUCCAUUGAAGACCACCAGUGGCGAAGGCGGCUUGCCAGAAUGCGCUCGACGGUGAGGGAUGAAGCUGGGGAGCAACCGGG
rnacentral:rRNA from 1 species